UGGGGGAGUGGCUGAGGGUGGCAGUUGCUUAGAUUGCUGAAAGAAGUCCAUCACUGAGGGGGCAGACUAUGAGUUUAAUGCCUUGUUCCACUGCCAGUUCUUUCCUCCUGUGGCUUGAAGAAGUGUGCCUCCAGCUUCCUGUUCCCACGACCACCACCACAUGUCACUUGCUGCCGUGCUUACCUGUCAUGAUGAAUUCUUAUCUCUCAGGAAUGCUGUGAUGUGGCCAACUGCCUGAGUUCCUGUCUUGACUUCCCAGAAAUAAUGGACAAUGACCUGGAAAACUAAAGUCUGACCCAAGGAAGACCCACCUAGUGGUAGGGUCACAAAAGUGACCGAUUCAUCCUCCUGCCCCUCCCAUAUAAUCUGGAUCAACAGUUGCCUCUGGAAAGCAAAGAUGCUAAGAUUUCAGUCUCCAACAUGCACUGGCCAUGUCCUUGUGGUUUGCCAGUGCAUUGGUUUUGCAAUUAAAAGCUGAAAGGGCUUGAAAGGAAACAGUGAGUCUGACCUUGGAGGAUGUCCUGUUCUCAACCCCACUGAGUCAUCCAAGAAUUUAUGAGCCAGUCAUACCAUCUGCAGAGGACUGAGUCUCCCACAGGACCCACUGCACAAACUGUUGUGGACUUAACAUUACCGAUGCCUAUCCAUCAAACAGUAUCUUUCCUAGGAAACUGCCUGGAGGACCAGCAUCUGUCAGAAGCUCAGGUCCUGCUGCUGCUGACCAAGGCAAGAAGAAGCACUCAUCCCUGGACAUUUUUCCAAGGUGCUCAAUACAAAGUGGAUGGUUGCCGAUGCCUUUUUUUCAUAUAGGAAUUUAAAGACCAUCAUCAUGCCAAUUGGAGCAUUUCUCGUCAACUCUUAAUCAGCCUUGCAGAGUUGCUAAAUGCUUUAAGAAACCAUUUACUGGGGUACAUGGUAGAGAAACAGUUUCAAACUGCAGGGGUCUUUGGUCCUUAUUAAUACUCAGAUUUCUCUGAACCCAGAGGAAGGCAAGGCUCAACAGUUUAAGGGAGAUUCAAGUGGAAACAAACAGACCCAUUCAGAGCAGUGGGAACAUGCUAACACUCCUGUUAAAUGUUAACUCCCUUUAAAAAUAAAAAUAACAUGGAGAGAGAGCUCUGGUGGGGGGAUAGAUCGCUCUCUAGAUUAGGCAAAUUCUGUUGUUUCAGGUGGUUAACCUUGUUGUUCCAAUCCCCAGCCUGGAGUUAAAAAACAAAACCACAAGCCUGAAGGUCAGUCCUCAGCACAGUAGUCUGAAUGGGGCCGUAUUAACAGUAACUAAAUACCUUGGACUUGGGACAUUGGGACCGUGGCCCUUUGGCUUCUCAGAAGAACUUAAAGAUAGCUACACAGGAACAUGAACAGCUAGCUUGUUUUUCACAGGGAACUCCAUAGAAAUACCUCUCACAGGGCGAUACUCUGAGACCCACUGUCUCGUGGAAGCUUGUUCCUGGGGUCAAGUAUGUGAUUGGACUAGGGUAUAUGUGUGACAUUAGUUUUGGGCUAUCCCUGGAUAGGAACCUGACACAGGUACGUCGAAAUGAAUUUCCACAGUUCCUUCCUGUUGGCUUCCCUGGUAGCUAGAACCUCAGCUGUGUGAAAUGCUAGAUCAGGGAAGGACUUGCUCAGCCACGUCACUGAAAGGCCAACAGAGUAAACGCUGUCACAGCUGAUGUGUUGCUAAGUUGAGAAAGUGAUCAUCAUAGCGAUGGCUUUACAGAUGCCAGCUCUGGGAAAUGUGACCAAGUCUCUGAGGACAGGAACAGGUGCGAGUGCAGGGAACAGAGGGAAGAAAGACAUCAAGGGUUCAAUACAACGUUCUAAACAAAACACACGGCACCGCAAUCUCUCACCGACAGAAACAGGCAUUCACAUUUCCAUACUGCCAGGGGCAUUGGCCUUGGACAUCUUCAUGGGUGUGCUAACUUUUUAUGCAUAAACUUUUUAUGCAAAUUUAUUCCAUAGAACUUGGCUGUGUCUAGAUCGAAAGCCACAGAUCCACCACAGCCCACCCAGCAGGAAGCACCUGGGCAGAAGCUUUAAAAGUUAUCCUGCAGGUCACAUCUCAGAUUGUUUUAGGACAUGAAUUGGUACAGAAGUACUUAAGGAGAACUUGCACUUCUGAUGUCUCCAGCUAUGGGGAAUGGAAGAGUCAGAGGCUGGACCAGAAAACAGAGACAGGGGAUUAGGUUGUGGGGCUAUGUGAAAAACUAAAGGAUACAAUUGUCAGAGGCUGGAGAAAGGACCCAGUAAUUAAGAAGAGAUGUUGUUCUUACAGAGGACCUGGGUUUAGUUCCCAGCACUGACAUGGUGUUUCAAAGCCAUCCAUAACUCCAGUUUCAGGGGCUCUGAUCCCCUCUUCUGACCUUGCAGGCACCAUACACACAUGUGGUAUACAGUCAUACAUCAGGUAAAUCACUCAUAUACAUAAAAUUAAAAAAAUAAUAUAUCUUAGAGAAUACAGUUGUAACUAUGUUUGGAGGAUCUGGGGACUAUAAAGAUGUAUAUCAAACAAUUACACAUACUCAGGUACACACACAUAUGCACAUACAUACAUACCACAUACCACACCCACACCCACACACAUAUACAUACCAUGCACGCAAACACACAGAGAGAGAAAGCAAGAGAGAGGCAGAAACAGAGAUAUUUCUACAAGAACAAAGAAAAGCAUUAAAAAUGGACACUAGAAAUUACAAGAAAAUUAAGCCGAGUGCAGAGGGCCACAACUGAAAUUUUACAUUCAAGAACUUAAAGCAGGUAUGUCAAAGGGCAGCCAUAGCUCUGGGGACAUACCCUGUGCUAGGUGGGACAGCUCAGUUACAGCUGUCUUGGAAUCAUCUGUAUAUCUGCCUGUAACUCCAGCAGCCUCAUUCAUUCACUAAGUUAUAAUUAGGUGUAAUUGUUUCUUUGGUCUGCUGUCCGUGCCCUAACUGUGGAAGCAGACAUUUGUUCGCAGCUCCUUAGGAGAAGUCACGCCCACUGGCCCAUAACCUGAGAACCUGGAAGAAGUUUAUUCACACCAUAAUUCUGUUGAACAGCUGGGCAUGUAGCAACAGGUCUGUUAUUUCAGAUGUAUUCCAUGGCUCUGACCCCAAAGCUCGGGAGAUUUUGAAAAUUCUAGAAAUCGGGUCUCUUAUGAUUGUCUUACUGGGAACCGUGAAUGAGUUAGGUGAGACAGUCUUGGAAUCCUUCCAUCUACCAGAAAUUCAAAUGCAGAGAAGAACUUCUCAAUUAUUCAUUCAUCCCCUGAUUUAAUCAGUUGUUAAUGUCUGGGGAGAACUCUUUACAGGUACUGAGCUGGAUGGGGAAAUCAAUAAGGCAGAGUCUCUUACAAUUCUCCCUCGAAGAGCUAUAGGAAAGUUCUGGAGAGAGCAGAAGCAGAAGCACUUGCUGUGAAUGAUGAGCUCCCCCAGGUGAGGUUUGAGCUGAGUGCUAUGGAAUAGAAACAAGCUGGCUGAGGGCAUACAGUGAGAAAGAUUGCUGCAGGAAGGGGGGGAUGCAGUGCAAAAGGAAACAUUUUUAAAAUCUGAGUUUGAAUUGACAGCCUGUCCUAUAUAUCAGCCGAAGGGAUAGCUGUUCUUUCUUGCAUGGAAGACAUUUCCUGGGCCAUUAACAGGCAAGGAUACUUCUAGGGCUGGAUGUGAGCUCUCCCCAAGGACUGACCACCCCCAGCCCCUGCCCAGGAAUGUUUGCUUUGGUCCUUUGAUCUCUUCUAAAGCUCUUGAAAAGUCUGUGUGAUUCUCAUUAAACAUUGAGUUAGAGAAACACAUGUGUAUUAAAUGCUUAUCCAGGUGUCACAAUAAGCAUGUGGAGAGCUAAGAUGGAAGGGAAGAAAGAGGGAGAGGGAGGGAAGGAAGGAAGGAAGGGAGGGAGGAAGGAAGGAAGAGUGGACGGACAGACUGAAAGCCUGAAAGCCCCAUGCCCUCUCUGAGGCCCUCAUGAGUUGCUGCUUUGUGGCUUUCAGACUGAGAAACUCUGACCCUUAGUCCAGAGUGCAAAGAGAAUACCCAUUUGGUUUGCUGAAUCUGUAUUCAGUGGUACUGUGGGGCUCUGGGGAUAAAAAGAUGCCUUUGGUGCUUCAGUGACUGGUGAACCUCUACAUGACUGGAGCUGCCAUCUAUUCUACACUAUCCUUCUCCUAGCUUCCCUUGUAAGCAGCCCACCCUCUAUAACAGUGUGGAGUCAGCAUCUCUGAGAACCAUUGUCUGUCAGAUAGAGUGAACAGGAAGAUGGUUUCUGAGCUCACUGAAGCCAACUCCAGAAGCUAACAGCUUGCAAACUAGGAAAAUGAUCCUAACGUCCCUUUAAUGUUAAUCAGGAUCAUAAAAAGCGCAUCAGUAAUCUCACCCUUUCCCCAUUCCUCACACUCACCAACAUCCACAAACAGUUGAGUGAAUAUUUACUGACACCAAGAGUUUUAUUCUGCCUAUGGCCCUCAAGAAUUGUAAAUAAUUUGAAAAUUAUGGGCAGAGUCCACUUUAAUUAAAAACAAAAAAGGGGGGUGGGGGGGCAGCUGUGAAUGCUGGCUGCUAUCAUGCUUGUUAGCUUACAUGUGUAGAAUAUUUUCAAUUAAAUAAACAGAAAUGUGUUUGUUUUUUUUUUUCCAAAAGGCUAUGGCAUCUAAGUGAGUGGGAAG